rnacentral:rRNA from 1 species
UACGUAGGAGGCAAGCGUUGUCCGGAAUUACUGGGCGUAAGGCGCGUGUAGGUGGUGGGACAAGUCUGCUGUGAAAGCGCCUGGCUUAACCGGGCGAGGUCGGCGGAAACUGUCCGACUCGAGGACGGUAGAGGGGGGUGGAAUUCCCGGUGUAGUGGUGAAAUGCGUAGAGAUCGGGAGGAACACCUGUGGCGAAGGCGGCCCCCUGGGCCGGCCCUGACACUGAGACGCGAAGGCGUGGGGAGCGAACGGG